rnacentral:rRNA from 1 species
CCUACGGGUGGCUGCAGUCGAGAAUUUUUCUCAAUGGGGGAAACCCUGAAGGAGCGACGCCGCGUGGAGGAUGAAGGUCUUCGGGUUGUAAACUCCUGUCAUUUGGGAACUAGUACCAGAAGAGGAAGAGACGGCUAACUCUGUGCCAGCAGCCGCGGUAAUACAGAGGUCUCAAGCGUUGUUCGGAUUCAUUGGGCGUAAAGGGUGCGUAGGUGGCGCCGUAAGUGGGGUGUGAAAUUUCGGAGCUUAACUCCGAAACUGCAUUCCAUACUGCGGUGCUUGAGGACUGGAGAGGAGACUGGAAUUCAUGGUGUAGCAGUGAAAUGCGUAGAGAUCAUGAGGAAGACCAGUGGCGAAGGCGGGUCUCUGGACAGUCCUGACACUGAUGCACGAAGGCCAGGGGAGCAAACGGGAUUAGAUACCCUAGUAGUC